CCAUCAUUAAGUUGGGAACUCUAAGGAGACCGCCGGUGACAAACCGGAGGAAGGUGGGGAUGACGUCAAGUCAUCAUGGCCCUUAUGGCCAGGGCUACACACGUGCUACAAUGGGCGGUACAGAGGGUUGCCAACCCGCGAGGGGGAGCCAAUCCCAAAAAGCCGUUCGUAGUCCGGAUCGGAGUCUGCAACUCGACUCCGUGAAGUCGGAAUCGCUAGUAAUCGCAGAUCAGCAUUGCUGCGGUGAAUACGUUCCCGGGUCUUGUACACACCGCCCGUCACACCAUGGAAGUUGGUUGCACCAGAAGUAGGUAGCCUAACCGCAAGGAGGGCGCUUACCACGGUGUGGCCAAUGACUGGGGUGAAGUCGUAACAAGGUAGCCGUACGGGAACGUGCGGCUGGAUCACCUCCUU
rnacentral:rRNA from 1 species